rnacentral:rRNA from 1 species
UACGGGGGGGGCAAGCGUUGUUCGGAAUUACUGGGCGUAAAGCGCGCGCAGGCGGUCCUUCAAGUCAGAGGUGAAAGCCCAGAGCUCAACUCUGGAACGGCCUUUGAGACUAGAGGACUUGGGUACGGGAGAGGUGAGUGGAAUUCCGAGUGUAGAGGUGAAAUUCGUAGAUAUUCGGAAGAACACCAGUGGCGAAGGCGGCUCACUGGCCCGUUACCGACGCUCAGGCGCGACAGCGUGGGGAGCAAACAGG